CUAUAAAAUAUACAGAAUACAGCACCAUACCUCUUACAUCCAGUGACCUCUCCUGUGAUGUAGACUUUCCUCAGCAUCUUCAUACGGAGAUAGGACCAUCAUAAUACCUUCUUUCAGCCACGUCUAGUCUCUGAUUCAGCUGCAGCCUAUCC